CGUUCGCAUGUCCACAAUCUGGAUAUCGGGUAUUUAAGAGUCGGGGAACUCCACUAUAGCAUUCUCCCUUAUUUAUUAUAAUAACGUUGGGUAGCAGAAGAAAUUAGCAAAGCAAUAAAAUAUAUACAUAUAUCUAUGUAUAAUCUUAUAAAUAAUCAGUAUGAACAUCCGAGUCCAUGCGGCCAUGUUCGUGCUGAUGUAUUUCCGUCUGUCUCCGGAACUAAAAGAGUUUGUUUUAGAAGAUUUCCACUACCACUAUAUCACCUACAAUUCUAUCAAUAAUCCAAAAACUUGUCGGUCACGCCCAAUUUAACGCUUUCGAAUCGAAAUAAAAGCAAAAGUGUUUUCUGCCUCAGCACCAAUAUCUAAUUUCUUUUAAAUUAAUGUGCUAGUUUUUCGUUGAAAAUUCCUAUAACAGCUUUAUGAAAUCGUGGACCACUUCUGAUCAAGGUAAAUAAGAAGUUAAAUAUUGUCAAAAAACGUAAGUAUACCUAGCUAGAACAUCGAAAAUAGGGUUUCAGAGAAGAAACCGAUGGAGUACACAUGGACGUGGUUUUAACCACUAGGCUAUUGAUGUAUAUACUUUAUAUGGCCAUAAUGGCCUAUUUUAUGUAUGCUCUCUGUAAGGAUUUACAUAUCUAGGAAAAUACAAGUUAAAACUUACUUAUUUCUGAUAAGCAUUUUAUCAAAUAAUACCGUUUAACUUACUUUAGUUGAGUCCUCUUGCAUUUUUGUAUGCUCUGCAAUAAAGCGCACACAAAAACAGCUUUUGUGAAUUUUAGGAAGGCAUUUAGAGUGGGAAAAUGCUGGAUUAUUUAAAAUGGGACUUUUCAUCCCUAAGGGUCCGAUAUCCAUAUCGGGGACGGCGGCUAUUUCGUCUGAACUACAAUGGGUGAGUGGCGGCACUGGGCCAUGAACCUGACAACUUCCUCCAAAUGGUCCAUUCGCCGUAAUGCUAAAGUAAAAGAUAUUUUGAUAACAUUAUACAAAAUACGAACUUUUUUUUAUUUUGAGGAAUUAAAACUCAGCCAUCUCCAACAAUAAGCAAGUGUGUAAACCACAAAAUGGUUGAAAAGAAAUUCAAAAGAAAUACGAGAAAUUCAAAAUUUCUUAUGUACCACAAAAAUGAACAAAUUUCAAAACAUUUUUGAAAAGUGUGGGCGUGGCAGUUGCGUCUGCGUCUAUGUCUCUAGAAUUGUUUGCUCUAUCUUUUAAAGUUUCUGAGACCUCGACAUUCAUACGGACGGACAGACAGAAAAUCAUUUAAUUCUCGAAUACUCUAAUAAUAAUAAUAAUCUAAUAUUAAAUAAAUGAGCUAACAAGACAAGAAAUUGUACAAAUGAAAUCAAUAAAAUAUGCGAUAGUAAGUAAAAGUUUCUUAGAAUAUUUAAAUGGACUCACUUAGAAAAACAAAAUAUAAAAUAUACCCAUUAAAAUUAUAAAUAUAUUUUUCACCACAUAUUUACCAUUGUUAUUAUUAAUAUUAACAGUAGUCAUGAUUAUACGAAUUGAAGUUAAUUAAAUUGUAUGAUACGAAAAUUUAAACACUACACCUAAAUAAAGCUUAAUAAUUUCAUCUACCGACCACAGAUAGAGCCGGAACUGGCACGUGACUAUAGGAAAUUGACCCACUUUUUCUGGUCUAAAUUAAUAACUGCAGAACGAAGUUCAUUGGGUUACACUAGACCAUACCUUUUAUGAUACUAAAAAUUGUGGGCGUGGCACCGAUCGUUAUAUAUUUUUUAGUUGGUAACUCCAGAGCGCAGAAAGAUAUUUAGUUUACUUACACUAGACCAUAUCUAUGAAAAUCCCAAAAACUGAGGGCGCCCAUUAUAUUUAAUUAAGUAAUUUUCGUAUAGAGAAUUCUAUAAUUUCGCAUGCUUCUUCUAUUCCAAUAUUCUAUUAUAUUAAGUAAAAAAAUCAUUUAGUUAUUGUAUAUUGAUAAUAAUAUAUAUAAUAAUAUAUAUUUUCAAAUAAUAACAACAAAAUAAUAAUAAAAAUAAUAAAAAAAAUAUAGCAACCGCCUUUUAGCAUAAGAUUACUCUGAAUAUGAAAUGGUAGGGUUAGGUCCUAAAAGCUAAAAUUCAUUUGAAAUUACAAUUAUCUAAGCAAGAAUUAAAUAAGCUACAACAUGAGGUACAUUUAAUUGACGGUCUAGACUUUAAAUUCCGUAUGAAAGUUUAGUCAUUAUCAAAAAUUAUUUUUCUAAUGCAACUCAUUUUUCUAGUAAAUUUUUGGUACAACACGGUUUUUUUUUUGCUUUAAUAAAAGCCCCACUGAUUAAAGUACCAUUUGUAGGGGUAUUAUAUAUCCUCUUAAUUAACUAAAACACACAAAGGCAGGAGUUGGACUCUUUGAUUUAUUUGUUACUUUCCGUGUUCAGCUUUAGCAUUCGACUGACUCCCUCUCCGUUUGCGAUCUGCCUCUAUGCUUGUUGCUACAGGGCCGAUGUUGCGAAACAGAGAGAAUGCCACCCGAAAGCGAACAAGUACUUAAUGUUUAUAUACUAUGUUGCUAUUAUGAACUGAACUUAUGUAUGUGUACCUCUAGCCUACUACAAUUCGACCAUCCUGACAUUUAAGAUCACCUGAUCUUGUCGAAAUUUCCAACUUAUAACUAUUACAUUGUUCUUAGCCGCUAUUUGUUACAUUUUUUUACUUUUCUUAUCUUUAAUUAUACAAAUUUACUUUCUACUCCCUAUCCAAUGUUUAAUAUUUUGACUACUCCAGACACCUUGAUAUGGAUUUCGCGCCAAUUGAAAACCUUCAACAUCUUUAAUUAAAAACCUAUCAUUUUUCAAUACCUUCUCUAUUUCAUAUGGACCCUUAUGUUUAGGUAUUAGCUUUCUAGCAACUCCUCCUGUACUAUCGAAAUUCUUAAC
ensembl:ncRNA lncRNA:CR46475 long non-coding RNA:CR46475